GUCAUCGAUGGGGAUGCGUUCCAUUAGCUUGUUGGCGGGGUAACGGCCCACCAAGGCAUCGAUGGAUAGGGGUUCUGAGAGGAAGGUCCCCCACAUUGGAACUGAGACACGGUCCAAACUCCUACGGGAGGCAGCAGUGAGGAAUAUUGGUCAAUGGGCGCUAGCCUGAACCAGCCAAGUAGCGUGAAGGAUGACUGCCCUAUGGGUUGUAAACUUCUUUUAUAUGGGAAUAAAGUGCAGUAUGUAUACUGCUUUGCAUGUACCUUAUGAAUAAGGAUCGGCUAACUCCGUGCCAGCAGCCGCGGUAAUACGGAGGAUCCGAGCGUUAUCCGGAUUUAUUGGGUUUAAAGGGAGCGUAGGCGGGUUGUUAAGUCAGUUGUGAAAGUUUGCGGCUCAACCGUAAAAUUGCAGUUGAUACUGGCAUCCUUGAGUACAGUAGAGGUAGGCGGAAUUCGUGGUGUAGCGGUGAAAUGCUUAGAUAUCACGAAGAACUCCGAUUGCGAAGGCAGCCUGCUGGACUGUAACUGACGCUGAUGCUCGAAAGUGUGGGUAUCAAACAGGAUUAGAUACCCUGGUAGUCCACACAGUAAACGAUGAAUACUCGCUGUUUGCGAUAUAC
rnacentral:rRNA from 1 species